CAACUGUAAAAAACUGGGAGGGUAGAGUCUGGAAAGAGGGAAGGGUUUUUGCAUCAAAAAUGGAGUUUCAAUGAGCGCAUAAAGACAGCUAACUUGCAUACUGAAAGUGCAAACACACACAGAUGAAAUGGGUAGUGAUACAGAGUGCAGCAGUUACAGUGGUUUUGAGAGCUGUCUGGAAGUGGAGGACUUCUCCCCACCAGAAGCCCCUGAAUCGCACUGUGAUCAUAUUGACGACAGUGCAGGUCCAGCGCCUUAUCAGUUUAUCAGGAGAAAGUGAAGACGAAACUGAUGAAGUGCAUAUCAAAGUCGUCCCGCACUGAACAGGUGUUCAUGUGUUAACUGCUCCAGACUCAGUCCCUGGGGGAAUGUAUGUUGUAAAGACAUACCACAGGUGAUGCACAGAUGUGGACAGGUGGAUGGCGUUGCCUGUAUAACAGAUCACCCAGGUUUUGAGCCUGUCGCUCUUAACCCAUACGUCCUGCAGGCAGUGUAUGGCACAUAUCGCCAGUUGUUUGGAGAGAUGAGAAACCCUGUCCUCAACAGGUCAGUUUUGUUAAACACUAUUAAAAAUAACUGUAUUGUUACAUGUCUGUAUGUUAUCAAAACUUUUAA